UAGGGAAUCUUCCGCAAUGGGCGCAAGUCUGACGGAGCAACGCCGCGUGAGUGAAGAAGGAUUUCGGUUCGUAAAACUCUGUUGUUAGAGAAGAACAGCGCAUAGAGUAACUGUUAUGCGUGUGACGGUAUCUAACCAGAAAGCCACGGCUAACUACGUGCCAGCAGCCGCGGUAAUACGUAGGUGGCAAGCGUUGUCCGGAUUUAUUGGGCGUAAAGCGAGCGCAGGCGGUUUUUUAAGUCUGAUGUGAAAGCCCACGGCUCAACCGUGGAGGGUCAUUGGAAACUGGAUAACUUGAGUGCAGAAGAGGAAAGUGGAAUUCCAUGUGUAGCGGUGAAAUGCGUAGAUAUAUGGAGGAACACCAGUGGCGAAGGCGACUCUCUGGUCUGUAACUGACGCUGAGGCUCGAAAGCGUGGGUAGCAAACAGG
rnacentral:rRNA from 1 species